rnacentral:tRNA from 1 species
GGAGUUGUGGCUCAGUGGUAGAGCGCUUGCCUUGCACAUGUGAAGCACUGGGUUCAAUCCUCAGCACCACCU